CCAUCCUUGGUAGGGCUAUUCAAAGCAAUCCACCCCAGGCAAGGAUAAAGACAGCUGAACAAGACCAUGCAGAUCAGAGAAGAGUUGUGUGAUUAGAUUUUCACUUGAUUUGGAAGAUCAGCUAAUAGACUGGCCUUACUCCUCAGGAAGAGAAGGGAAUCCAGGGGAAGUCGAGAGAGAACUUACAGGCUUUCCUCAAAGCUCACAGCUAGUCCUCCGAAAGAAAGAACUCCAAGGGAAGAAAAUGACAGCCUACAUUAGUAGCCCUUUUUCUGAAGAGCAGCCGAUCAUAGGGCCCAGACAGCCUAUGAGUCCAUUUUCCUAAGGUGACAAAGAGUGGGCCCAACAUAGAACCCCAAGCAAUCUACCAAGCACACGCUGUCACACUGGCGAGGGCAAUCUUCCAGACCCCGGCUGGAUUCUAUCCUUUUCGGCUUCUCAGCUUUCUCAUUGGCUUAUCCACUCCUCACGUCUCGAUUUUCUCACAAAAAGAGAGGCCGCGCGAAGACCCUUGAGAUUGAAUCAAGAGGACCGUGCAAGCGUAUUCAUGGCAACAUUGAAGCAAGCGAAGGCCGGAAGGCAGCAGAUAUCUGAGGCUGAAACCUGAACCCAGAAGCCGAAUAGGAAGGAUUCUGAGGAUGGCACCGUCACCAGCAAACCAAUUUAUAAAAAGCAACAUGUUGCAAAGGUGAUAUUUAUAUGCAAAUGCAAAUGGGUAUGUUGGUCCUCCGUCAGCAUGUAUCUCUCUUUUAUCAACUUUUGUAAUAUCAUCAAACAAGUUUUGGAGUUACAAACA